GAUGAACGCUGGCGGCGUGCCUAAUACAUGCAAGUCGAGCGAACAGAUGAGGAGCUUGCUCCUCUGACGUUAGCGGCGGACGGGUGAGUAACACGUGGAUAACCUACCUAUAAGACUGGGAUAACUUCGGGAAACCGGAGCUAAUACCGGAUAAUAUAUUGAACCGCAUGGUUCAAUAGUGAAAGACGGUUUUGCUGUCACUUAUAGAUGGAUCCGCGCCGCAUUAGCUAGUUGGUAAGGUAACGGCUUACCAAGGCAACGAUGCGUAGCCGACCUGAGAGGGUGAUCGGCCACACUGGAACUGAGACACGGUCCAGACUCCUACGGGAGGCAGCAGUAGGGAAUCUGCCGCAAUGGGCGAAAGCCUGACGGAGCAACGCCGCGUGAGUGAUGAAGGUCUUCGGAUCGUAAAACUCUGUUAUUAGGGAAGAACAAAUGUGUAAGUAACUAUGCACGUCUUGACGGUACCUAAUCAGAAAGCCACGGCUAACUACGUG
rnacentral:rRNA from 1 species